UACGGAGGGGGCCAGCGUUGUUCGGAAUUACUGGGCGUAAAGCGCACGUAGGCGGAUCGAUCAGUCAGGGGUGAAAUCCCAGGGCUCAACCCUGGAACUGCCUUUGAUACUGUCGAUCUGGAGUAUGGAAGAGGUGAGUGGAAUUCCGAGUGUAGAGGUGAAAUUCGUAGAUAUUCGGAGGAACACCAGUGGCGAAGGCGGCUCACUGGUCCAUUACUGACGCUGAGGUGCGAAAGCGUGGGGAGCAAACAGG
rnacentral:rRNA from 1 species